rnacentral:rRNA from 1 species
GACGAACCGUCCGAACGCUAUUCGGAAUCACUGGGCUUAAAAGGUGCGUCGGCGGCGCGGAAAGUUGGGUGUGAAAUCCCUCGGCUCAACCGAGGAACUGCGCCCAAAACUACCGUGCUCGAGGGAGAUAGAGGUGAGCGGAACUUAGGGUGGAGCGGUGAAAUGCGUUGAUAUCCUAAGGAACACCGGUGGCGAAAGCGGCUCACUGGAUCUCUUCUGACGCUGAGGUACGAAAGCUAGGUUAGCGAACGGG